rnacentral:lncRNA from 1 species
AUGGAAAGAAGGGGCCCUGUGUGUUUUCAGAGCCACGCCAAGCAGGAGGGGAAGUGUCUCGAGGGAGGACAUGCACUGGGACUACCUGGAAGGAGAAGUGAAUGGAGACAGCGGGAAGAGGCAGGCAUAGAGCAGGGCAGGUGUUUACUGAAGUCCCAGGAGGCACCGGGCUACAUCCACAGCCGGAAACAAAACCAACUGGCCACCGCCCUCACUUUGGACUCGCGACAACCAGGCGGUGCUUGAAGGGACAGUGAUGACUGGAUCUCACUUCAGUGACCACACGGGACCCAGGUAGUGGCUACAUUCUGAUCGCUGCAUAAUAAGUCACCCCAAAACUCAGUGGCUGAAGACAGCAAUUCAGUUUUAGCGCUGGCGGUUCCGU